rnacentral:misc_RNA from 1 species
GAUGAAGAACGUAGCGAAAUGCGAUAAGUAAUGUGAAUUGCAGAAUUCAGUGAAUCAUCGAAUCUUUGAACGCACAUUGCGCCCGUCAGUAUUCUGGCGGGCAUGCCUGUUCGAGCGUCAUUACGCCCCUCAAGUCCCCUGUGGACUUGGUGUUGGGGAUCGGCGAGGCUGGUUUUCCAGCACAGCCGUCCCUUAAAUUAAUUGGCGGUCUCGCCGUGGCCCUCCUCUGCGCAGUAGUAAAACACUCGCAACAGGAGCCCGGCGCGGUCCACUGCCGUAAAACCCCCCAACUUUUUAUAGUUGACCUCGAAUCAGGUAGGACUACCCGCUGAACUUAAGCAUAUCAAUAAGCGGAA